CAGUCGCCACGGUAAUACGAAGGGUGCAAGCGUUAAUCGGAAUUACUGGGCGUAAAGCGUGCGUAGGCGGUGAGUUAAGUCUGCUGUGAAAUCCCCGGGCUCAACCUGGGAAUGGCAGUGGAUACUGGCUCGCUAGAGUGUGUCAGAGGAUGGUGGAAUUCCCGGUGUAGCGGUGAAAUGCGUAGAGAUCGGGAGGAACAUCAGUGGCGAAGGCGGCCAUCUGGGACAACACUGACGCUGAGGCACGAAAACGUGGGGAGCAAACAGGAUUAGAUACCCGCGUAGUCCCUGUCUCUUAUAC
rnacentral:rRNA from 1 species